AUUGAACGCUGGCGGAAUGCUUUACACAUACAAGUCGAACGGUAGAGGGGGCAACCCCUUGAGAGUGGCGAACGGGUGAGUAAUAUAUCGGAACGUGCCCAGUCGUGGGGGAUAACGUAGCGAAAGUUACGCUAAUACCGCAUACGAUCUAAGGAUGAAAGCGGGGGAUCGCAAGACCUCGCGCGACUGGAGCGGCCGAUAUCAGAUUAGGUAGUUGGUAGGGUAAAGGCCUACCAAGCCAACGAUCUGUAGCUGGUCUGAGAGGACGACCAGCCACACUGGAACUGAGACACGGUCCAGACUCCUACGGGAGGCAGCAGUGGGGAAUUUUGGACAAUGGGCGAAAGCCUGAUCCAGCCAUUCCGCGUGCAGGAUGAAGGCCCUCGGGUUGUAAACUGCUUUUGUACAGAACGAAAAGGUUUCUAUUAAUACUAGGAGCUCAUGACGGUACUGUAAGAAUAAGCACCGGCUAACUACGUG
rnacentral:rRNA from 1 species